GAAAAGGAAAAAGAGAAGAAGGCAGCAGCAGCAGCAGCUGCUGCGGGUGCAGUGGAGGUCAAGGAAGAAAAACAGGUUGAAACAAAGAGUAAAGUUCCGGACAAGAAAUUACCAAAACAUGUAAGGGAGAUGCAAGAGGCACUUGCUAGGCGCAAAGAAGCAGAAGAGAGGAAGAAAAGAGAAGAGGAGGAGAGACUAAGGAAGGAAGAAGAAGAACGGC
rnacentral:lncRNA from 1 species